GACAGAGGUGCCAAGCGUUAGGCGGAAUCACUGGGCUUAAAGCGUGUGUAGGCGGAUUUGUAAGUACCUUGUGAAAUCCCACGGCUCAACCGUGGAACUGCUCGGUAUACUGCUUAUCUUGAGCCACGUAGGGGCUACCGGAACAAAUGGUGGAGCGGUGAAAUGCGUAGAUAUCGUGAGGAAUACCAGAGGCGAAGGCGGCUACCUGGACAAUUACUGACGCUCAGGCACGAAAGCGUGGGGAGCAAACGGG
rnacentral:rRNA from 1 species